AGCUGGGUUGUUAAGUCUCUUGGGAAAUCUGGCGGCUUAACCGUCAGGCGUCUAAGGGAUACUGGCAAUCUUGGAACCGGGAGAGGUGAGGGGUACUUCGGGGGUAGGAGUGAAAUCCUGUAAUCCUCGAGGGACCACCUGUGGCGAAGGCGCCUCACCAGAACCGCUUCGACAGUGAGGGACGAAAGCUGGGGGAGCAAACCGGAUUAGAUACCCGGGUAGUCCCAGCCGUAAACUAUGCGCGUUAGGUGUAUCGGUGACCACGAGUUACCGAGGUGCCGAAGGGAAACCGUGAAACGUGCCGCCUGGGAAGUACGGUCGCAAGGCUGAAACUUAAAGGAAUUGGCGGGGGAGCACCACAACAGGUGGAGCCUGCGGUUUAAUUGGACUCAACGCCGGGAAGCUCACCGGAUAGGACAGCAGAAUGAUUGCCGGGCUGAAGACCCUGCAUGACUAGCUGAGAGGAGGUGCAUGGCCGUCGUCAGUUCGUACUGUGAAGCAUCCUGUUAAGUCAGGCAACGAGCAAGACCCACGCCAACAGUUGCCAGCAUGGUCUCCGGACUGAUGGGGACACUGUUGGGACCGCCUCUGCUAAAGAGGAGGAAGGAAUGGGCAACGGUAGGUCAGCAUGCCCCGAAUUAUCCGGGCUACACGCGGGCUACAAUGGGCAGGACAAUGGGCAUCGACACCGUGAGGUGGAGGCAAUCUCCUAAACCUGUCCUUAGUUCGGAUUGUGGGCUGAAACUCGCCCACAUGAAGCUGGAAUCUGUAGUAAUCGCGUUUCAAAAUAACGCGGUGAAUUUGUCCCUGCUCCUUGCACUCACCGCCCGUAA
rnacentral:rRNA from 1 species